AUGAACAAGGUGAAGGGCCAUGGUGGCAAGCACAAGGGGGCAGGAUCAGGAGGAGGAGGGAUCAGAAGGAAGUUGAGGCGACACACGGCCAGGCUAUACAUCAUCCGGCAAUGCGUCGUCAUGCUCCUCUGCUACCAUGACUGA
rnacentral:rRNA from 1 species